rnacentral:rRNA from 1 species
GACGAACGCUGACGGCGUGCUUAACACAUGCAAGUCGAAGGGAGUGGCGAACGGGUGAGUAACAUGUGAGUAACCUGCCCUUUUCUUUGGGAUAAGCCUGGGAAACUGGGUCUAAUACUUGAUGGUGUGGGCUGGGUUCGCGGCUUAUAGGCUUGUUGGUGGGGUGAUGGCUUACCAAGGCUUUGACGGGUAGCCGGCCUGAGUGGGUGGGCGGGGACACAGGGACGGGGAACAGGCCCAGAGGACGACGGGGGGGAGGAGUGGGGGAUAUUGGAGAAAGGAGGAGAGUCUCAUGCAGCGACGUCGAGUGGGGGAUGAGGGCUGUCGGGUUGUAAACUCCGGGAGCCCGGGGAAUGGUAGUGGGUAAAGAAGCGCCGGCUAACUACGUGCCAGCAGCCGCGGUAAUAC